AUCCUUUUCUAGUUCAUAAGCAUGAAAAUUGGGUGUUCACGCAUUUGUGUGACAUGUGCCUCCCACAAACCAUGUUACAACAUCAGGACAUUACCUGUCUGACA